rnacentral:rRNA from 1 species
ACUCUCGGCAACGGAUAUCUCGGCUCUCGCAUCGAUGAAGAACGUAGCAAAAUGCGAUACCUGGUGUGAAUUGCAGAAUCCCGCGAACCAUCGAGUUUUUGAACGCAAGUUGCGCCCGAAGCCUUCUGGCGGAGGGCACGUCUGCCUGGGCGUCACGCCAAAAGACACUCCCAACACCCCCCCGCGGGGCGAGGGACGUGGCGUCUGGCCCCCCGCGCCGCACGGCGAGGUGGGCCGAAGCAGGGGCUGCCGGCGAACCGCGCCGGGCGCAGCACGUGGUGGGCGACAUCAAGUUGUUGUUCUCGGUGCAGCGUCCCGGCGCGCGGCCGGCCAUUCGGCCCUAAGGACCCAUCGAGCGACCGAGCUUGCCCUCGGACCGCGACCCCAGGUCAGUCGGGACUACCCGCUGAGUUUAAGCAUAUAAAUAAGCGGAGGAGAAGAAACUUACGAGGAUUCCCCUAGUAACGGCGAGCGAACCGGGAGCAGCCCAGCUUGAGAAUCGGGCGGCCUCGCCGCCCGAAUUGUAGUCUGGAGAGGCGUCCUCAGCGACGGACCGGGCCCAAGUUCUCUGGAAAGGGACGCCUGGGAGGGUGAGAGCCCCGUCCGGCCCGGACCCUGUCGCACCACGAGGCGCCGUCAACGAGUCGGGUUGUUUGGGAAUGCAGCCCAAAUCGGGCGGUAAACUCCGUCCAAGGCUAAAUACAGGCGAGAGACCGAUAGCGAACAAGUACCGCGAGGGAAAGAUGAAAAGGACUUUGAAAAGAGAGUCAAAGAGUGCUUGAAAUUGCCGGGAGGGAAGCGGAUGGGGGCUGGCGACGCGCACCGGCCGUAUGCGGAACGGCUCCUGCUGGUCCGCCGAUCGGCUCGGGGCGUGGACCGUUGUCGCCCGCGCCGGCGGCCAAAGCCCGGGGGCCCUAGGCGCCCCCGGCAGCCGUCGUCGGCGCGGACGGUAUCCGCGCGCCUCUGGCGCGCCCCUCGGGGCGCUGCGCUGCAACGGCCUGCGAGCUCCCCAUCCGACCCGUCUUGAAACACGGACCAAGGAGUCUGACAUGCGUGCGAGUCGACGGGUUCAGAAACCUGAGAUGCGCAAGGAAGCUGACGAGCGGGAGGCCCUCACGGGCCGCACCGCUGGCCGACCCUGAUCUUCUGUGAAGGGUUCGAGUUGGAGCACGCCUGUCGGGACCCGAAAGAUGGUGAACUAUGCCUGAGCGGGGCGAAGCCAGAGGAAACUCUGGUGGAGGCUCGAAGCGAUACUGACGUGCAAAUCGUUCGUCUGACUUGGGUAUAGGGGCGAAAGACUAAUCGAACCAUCUAGUAGCUGGUUCCCUCCGAAGUUUCCCUCAGGAUAGCUGGAGCCCACACGAGUUCUAUCGGGUAAAGCCAAUGAUUAGAGGCAUCGGGGGCGCAACGCCCUCGACCUAUUCUCAAACUUUAAAUAGGUAGGACGGCGCGGCUGCUUCGGUGAGCCGUGCCACGGAAUCGGGAGCUCCAAGUGGGCCAUUUUUGGUAAGCAGAACUGGCGAUGCGGGAUGAACCGGAAGCCGGGUUACGGUGCCAAACUGCGCGCUAACCUAGAACCCACAAAGGGUGUUGGUCGAUUAAGACAGCAGGACGGUGGUCAUGGAAGUCGAAAUCCGCUAAGGAGUGUGUAACAACUCACCUGCCGAAUCAACUAGCCCCGAAAAUGGAUGGCGCUGAAGCGCGCGACCCACACCCGGCCAUCUGGGCGAGCGACAUGCCCCGAUGAGUAGGAGGGCGCGGCGGCCGCCGCAAAACCCGGGGCGCGAGCCCGGGCGGAGCGGCCGUCGGUGCAGAUCUUGGUGGUAGUAGCAAAUAUUCAAAUGAGAACUUUGAAGGCCGAAGAGGAGAAAGGUUCCAUGUGAACGGCACUUGCACAUGGGUAAGCCGAUCCUAAGGGACGGGGGAAACCCGGCAGAUAGCGCGAUCACGCGCGUCACCCGAAAGGGAAUCGGGUUAAGAUUUCCCGAGCCGGGACGUGGCGGCAGACGGCGACGGGGCCGGACGGGGCUCUCACCCUCCCAGGCGUCCCUUUCCAGAGAACUUGGGCCCGGUCCGUCGCUGAGGACGCCUCUCCAGACUACAAUUCGGGCGGCGAGGCCGCCCGAUUCUCAAGCUGGGCUGCUCCCGGUUCGCUCGCCGUUACUAGGGGAAUCCUCGUAAGUUUCUUCUCCUCCGCUUAUUUAUAUGCUUAAACUCAGCGGGUAGUCCCGACUGACCUGGGGUCGCGGUCCGAGGACAAGCUCGGUCGCUCGAUGGGUCCUUAGGGCCGACGCGCCUGUAACACCCCAGGUGUUACUCAGGGUGUCCACCCCAGGGUUACCCUUUUGUUUACCCAUUAUCACAUGAAGAUUGAAUUGGGCAAAGUAUACCAAACUUGGAAUUCUAGAUCCUAAGCAAGUGUAACCCACCUUGGAUGUCAUGCCCUAGCUUGUCAUGCACAUCUAAGUGGGGAUCUCCCAAAACCCUAAAGCAAAACCCCCAUAGGCAAUGGGAACCCUAAUUGAAGCCAUGAUCAAAAGAGCAUGUAAACCUUGUGAUCAUGGUUUGGGCCAAAUAUAAAAGUUGUAAUAUACUUAAUAACCUACAAUUAAUAGUAAGGGAGUACCCCCAAAAAGUUUU